rnacentral:rRNA from 1 species
AGCGAACGCUAGCGGCGGGCCUAACACAUGCAAGUCGAGCGGGGGAGCAAUCCCCAGCGGCGGACGGGUGAGUAACACGUAGGUUAUGUGCCCCUUGGUGGGGAAUAACCGUGGGAAACCAUGGCUAAUUCCGCAUAUCGAGCGAAAUCCUGAAAGCCUUCGGGCGCCAAAAGGAGCAACCUGCGGCCCAUUAGCUUGUUGGUAGGGUAACGGCCUACCAAGGCGAUGAUGGGUAGCUGGUCUGAGAGGAUGAUCAGCCACACUGGAACUGAGACACGGUCCAGACUCCUACGGGAGGCAGCAGUGGGGAAUAUUGCGCAAUGGGCGAAAAGCCUGACGCAGCCACGCCGCGUGAGUGAUGAAGGCCUUCGGGUCGGUAAAAACUCUGUCGGGAGGGACGAAGGGCGAACCCUGACGGUACCUCGCAAGAAAGCACCGGCUAAACUCUGUGCCAGCAGCCGCGGU